GCUGAGAUGGCGGAAUGGUAGACGCACGCGACUCAAAAUCGCGCAGGGCAACCUAGUGAGGGUUCAAGUCCCUCUCUCAGCA
rnacentral:tRNA from 1 species